AGUGAACGCUGGCGGUAGGCCUAACACAUGCAAGUCGAACGGCGGCACAGUAAGAGCUUGCUCUUACGGGUGGCGAGUGGCGGACGGGUGAGGAAUACAUCGGAAUCUACUUUUUCGUGGGGGAUAACGUAGGGAAACUUACGCUAAUACCGCAUACGACCUACGGGUGAAAGCAGGGGAUCUUCGGACCUUGCGCGAUUGAAUGAGCCGAUGUCGGAUUAGCUAGUUGGCGGGGUAAAGGCCCACCAAGGCGGCGAUCCGUAGCUGGUCUGAGAGGAUGAUCAGCCACACUGGAACUGAGACACGGUCCAGACUCCUACGGGAGGCAGCAGUGGGGAAUAUUGGACAAUGGGCGCAAGCCUGAUCCAGCCAUACCGCGUGGGUGAAGAAGGCCUUCGGGUUGUAAAGCCCUUUUGUUGGGAAAGAAAAGCAGCAGGUUAAUACCCCGCUGUUCUGACGGUACCCAAAGAAUAAGCACCGGCUAACUUCGUG
rnacentral:rRNA from 1 species